UCGAAGAUUCUAAGGCCAACGGGAGAAGGGUUGUUAAGGAACUCGGCAAAUUGACCCCGUAACUUCGGGAGAAGGGGUGCUCCAGAGAUGGAGCCGCAGAGAAUCGGCCCAAGCAACUGUUUACCAAAAACACAGGUUUGUGCUAAAUCGAAAGAUGACGUAUACGAGCUGACGCCUGCCCGGUGCUGGAAGGUUAAGAGGAGAUGUGCAAGCAUUGAAUCGAAGCCCCAGUGAACGGCGGCCGUAACGAUAACGGUCCUAAGGUAGCGAAAUUCCUUGUCAGGUAAGUUCUGACCCGCAUGAAAGGCGUAAUGAUUUGGGCACUGUCUCGACAGCCCGCCCGGCGAAAUUGUAGUACCGGUGAAGAUGCCGGUUACCCGCGACAAGACGGAAAGACCCCAUGGAGCUUUACUGUAGCCUAAUAUUGGGUUUCGAUGUUGCAUGCACAGGAUAGAUGGGACACUGGGAAGCAAGUGCUUUGGCAUUUGUGGAGUGGCCGUUGGGAUACCAUCCUUGCGAUAUUGGAAUUCUAACCUGCGCCUUUGAAUCAAGGCGGGGGACAUUGUUAGGUGGGCAGUUUGACUGGGGCGGUCGCCUCCUAAAGAGUAACGGAGGCGUUCAAAGGUUCGCUCAGCUUGAACGGAAAUCAAGCAAAAGAGUGCAAACGCAGAAGCGAGCCUAACUGCGAGACUGACGGGUCGAGCAGUAACGAAAGUUGGAGUUAGUGAUCCGGUGGUAUGUGAGUGGAAAUGCCAUCGCUCAACGGAUAAAAGUUACCCUGGGGAUAACAGGCUGAUCUCCCCCAAGAGUCCACAUCGACGGGGAGGUUUGGCACCUCGAUGUCGGCUCAUCGCAUCCUGGGGCUGUAUUCGGUCCCAAGGGUUUGGCUGUUCGCCAAUUAAAGCGGUACGCGAGCUGGGUUCAGAACGUCGUGAGACAGUUCGGUCCCUAUCUGUCGUGGGCGCAGGAUAUUUGAUGGGAGCUGUUCCUAGUACGAGAGGACCGGAGCGGACGUACCUCUGGCGCACCAGUUGUUCUGCCAAGGGCAUAGCUGGGCAACUAUGUACGGAUCGGAUAAACGCUGAAAGCAUCUAAGCGUGAAGCCGACCCAAAGAUAAGAUAUCCCAUUGUUUCAAGCAAGUAAGACCCCUUGAAGACUACAAGGUUGAUAGGCACGAUGUGUAAGUGGAGCGAUCCAUUCAGCAAGCGUGUACUAAUAGGUCGAGGGCUUGACC
rnacentral:rRNA from 1 species